AUUGAACGCUGGCGGCGUGCCUAACACAUGCGAGUCGAGCGGUAACAGGCGUAGCAAUACGUGCUGACGAGCGGCGAACGGGUGAGCAAUGCUUCGGAAUCUGCCCAAUGAUGGGGAAUAACCAGUCGAAAGAUUGGCUAAUACCGCAUACGCCCUUCGGGGGAAAGCGGGGGAUCGUAAGACCUCGCGUCGAUGGAUGAGCCGAAGUGGGAUUAGCUAGUUGGUAGGGUAACGGCCUACCAAGGCGACGUUCCGUAGCUAGUCUGAGAGGAAGACAAGACACACUGGGACGGAGAAACGGCCCAGACGCCUACGGGAGGCAGCAGUGGGGAAUAUUGGACAAUGGGGGCAACCCUGAUCCAGCGACGCCGCGUGUGUGAAGAAGGCAUGCGGGUUGUAAAGCACUUUUAGUGGGGAUGAAAAGCACAGCGUUAACACCGUUGUGUAUUGACAUAACCCAAAGAAAAAGCACCGGCUAACUCUGUGCCAGCAGCCGCCGUAAAAC
rnacentral:rRNA from 1 species